ACCCCAUGACAUAAGCCGGCAGAAAAAGAAUUUUUAAUUUUCUCUGUGACUAUGAUUGGGAACAAUAACCUUAUUCCGAUGUGUGUAUAUUUUAAAGCGCGUUCAUGCUUUAAAAUAAAGAUUUUUUCAGAAUACA